rnacentral:lncRNA from 1 species
CUUUGGUUUAUUAUGAUAAACAAGAAAAGCAAUUAGCUAUAAUGAUACCACACACCGAAGAUAUAAACAAACCAAAUAUAAAAAAUUAUCGAAAAAAAUCUAUGACAACAUCUAAAAGUAUAGAUAAACAGAAAAAUAGCCUAUUUUCUGACAUGUUUAAAAAUAUUUUCCAAGUUGUGCAUAAACUUGGGAACAAAAAACGUAGUUAUUAUGAAGAACUAACAAAAGACAGUUACUCUAAUGUUGUUAGUAGAAAUUGUCAAAAUCAGUACCAAAAUCAGUACCAAAAUCAAUACCAAAAUCAGUACCAAAAUCAGUACCAAUCUGAAUGUCAGAGCAAAAGUUUUAAUGAACACUAUGGUAGUUGCAAUUACAUAAACAAAGGUUACUUACAAAACAAUCACAUAACUAAGGAAACGUUUCAAGAUAUGAUGACCAACAUAAAUGAAAAUAAUAUAACCAAUAACAGUUGUAAUGACAAUUUUAAUAAUAAUGAAACGUAUAGAAAUAGUAAUAAACUAUCAUAUAACUACGAGUAUGAUAAUGGUGAUGAUGGUGAUGAUGAUGAUGAUGGUGAUGAUGAUGAAGUUAUAAAUGAUCAAAGGGUAAAGUUUUGCUCUUUUUUAAAACAUACUAACAUAUGCAUUUAUGGAAAUAUGCAAAAGGAACAUAGAGAUUUUGCUAUAGAAAUUUAUAAAGAGUUAAUAGAUAUAUUUUUAAAAAAUGUUACAUUAACAUAUGUUUCAAAUACCUUUUUUGAGUUUAUGUUUAAAACCACAAUAAAUAUACAAAACAAAUUUAAUAAUGAAGAUAAACAAAAUGAAUUUCUACAAUAUUUAAAUGAAACACAAAAGUUUAAUGAAUUUUGUAAAUAUAUACGAGUAAAUAAUGGUGAAAAAACAUGUUCCACUAAAUUAUGUAAGACACAAAUAGAUAACAACCAGUUAGAAUUAAAUUGUGAAAAUCUUAAAAAUGACAAAAAUAUGGCUUCGCUAAUUAAUCAUCAUAAAAAUGUAGGAGAUAAACUCAAGCAAUAUGCAUACACAACAAAACUCUCAGUUCCAUUAAACAAAUUUACUAACAAUUCUAAUGUAUUGUAUGAUCAUAAUAACAAAAAAGACGAUGAUGAGAAGAUUUAUUAUCGUAAUAGCGAUCAAUAUGAUGAUAUAAAUAGCAACGGUAUUCAACCUAC